CAGUCGCCACGGUAAUACGUAGGGUGCGAGCGUUAAUCGGAAUUACUGUGCGUAAAGCGUGCGCAGGCGGUUGUGUAAGACGGGUGUGAAAUCCCCGGGCUUAACCUGGGAACUGCGCUUGUGACUGCACAGCUAGAGUAUGGCAGAGGGGGGUGGAAUUCCACGUGUAGCAGUGAAAUGCGUAGAGAUGUGGAGGAACACCGAUGGCGAAGGCAGCCCCCUGGGCCAAUACUGACGCUCAUGCACGAAAGCGUGGGGAACAAACAGGAUUAGAUACCCCUGUAGUCCCUGUCUCUUAUAC
rnacentral:rRNA from 1 species